rnacentral:rRNA from 1 species
AGAGUUUGAUCAUGGCUCAGGAUGAACGCUGGCGGCGUGCCUAACACAUGCAAGUCGAGCGAAGCACUUUGCUCUGAUUUCUUCGGAUUGAAGAGUGAUUUGACUGAGCGGCGGACGGGUGAGUAACGCGUGGGUAACCUGCCUCACACAGGGGGAUAACAGUUAGAAAUGACUGCUAAUACCGCAUAAGGCCACAGCACCGCAGGGUGCAGGGGUAAAAACUCCGGUGGUGUGAGAUGGGCCCGCAUCUGAUUAGUUAGUUGGCGGGGUAACGGCCCACCAAGACGACGAUCAGUAGCCGACCUGAGAGGGUGACCGGCCACAUUGGGACUGAGACACGGCCCAAACUCCUACGGGAGGCAGCAGUGGGGAAUAUUGGGCAAUGGGCGCAAGCCUGACCCAGCAACGCCGCGUGAAGGAAGAAGGCCCUCGGGUUGUAAACUUCUUUUGACAGGGACGAAACAAAUGACGGUACCUGUCGAAUAAGCCACGGCUAACUACGUGCCAGCAGCCGCGGUAAUACGUAGGUGGCAAGCGUUAUCCGG